rnacentral:rRNA from 1 species
GUGGGGAAUAUUGCACAAUGGGGGAAACCCUGAUGCAGCGACGCCGCGUGAGCGAAGAAGGCCUUCGGGUCGUAAAGCUCUUUUAUAUGGGAAGAUAAUGACGGUACCAUAAGAAAAAGCCCCGGCUAACUACGUGCCAGCAGCCGCGGUAAUACGUAGGGGGCUAGCGUUGUCCGGAAUCACUGGGCGUAAAGGGUUCGCAGGCGGCAAUGCAAGUCAGAUGUAAAAGGCAAAGGCUCAACCUUUGUAAGCAUCUGAAACUGUAUAGCUUGAGAAGUGUAGAGGCAAGUGGAAUUUUUAGUGUAGCGGUGAAAUGCGUAGAUAUUAAAAAGAAUACCGGUGGCGAAGGCGACUUGCUGGGCACAAUCUGACGCUGAGGAACGAAAGCGUGGGGAGCAAACAGGAUUAGAAACCCGAGUAGUCC